GCAGAUAUCAAUAGGAGUUGAUGGAUCCAGUGUUACAUUCCUGUGGCUUUUUGGUUGUUUCCCAAUUAUUGAAGGGAGUUGCAGGCUUAUCAUGGGCGACACAGUGCUUUGCUCGCACCUUCACGGAGUACGGCAAUGUUUGGAAGCAAGUCGAGGACAGCCUCUCUCGAUUUCUGUCCCGGGGGCACUAUGCUCUUUCAGCUCACACCUUACAGACAUGUCAGGAAGCAAGGAAAGGUCAUUUUUUCACUCAUCGUUUACAUUUGUCUUAGUCUUUUGAAAAAAAAAAACACUAGUCAUUUUAAUGACACUGUGAUAAAUAAAUUUUUGGUCUUUAA
rnacentral:misc_RNA from 1 species